rnacentral:rRNA from 1 species
CCUACGGGAGGCAGCAGUGGGGAAUAUUGCACAAUGGGGGAAACCCUGAUGCAGCGACGCCGCGUGAGUGAAGACGUAUUUCUGUACGUAAAGCUCUAUCAGCAGGGAAGAAAAUGACGGUAUCUGACUCAGAAGCCCCGGCUAACUACGUGCCAGCAGCCGCGGCAAUACGUAGGCGGCAAGCGUUAUACGGAUUUACUGGGUGUAAAGGGAGCGUAGUCGGCAGCGCAAGUCUGAAGUGAAAUCCUUUGGCUUAACCAUGAAACUGCAGUUGAAACUGUGAAGCUUGAGUGCAGGAGAGGUAAGCGGAAUUCGUAGUGUAGCGGUGAAAUGCGUAGAUAUUAGGAGGAACACCAGUGGCGAAGGCGGCUUACUGGACUGCAACUGACGUUGAGGCUCGAAAGCGUGGGGAGCAAACAGGAUUAGAUACCCUGGUAGUC